rnacentral:rRNA from 1 species
GUACACAAAAAUGCACAUACUGUGAGCUCGAUGAGUAGGGCGGGACACGUGGUAUCCUGUCUGAAUAUGGGGGGACCAUCCUCCAAGGCUAAAUACUCCUGACUGACCGAUAGUGAACCAGUACCGUGAGGGAAAGGCGAAAAGAACCCCGGCGAGGGGAGUGAAAAAGAACCUGAAACCGUGUACGUACAAGCAGUGGGAGCCUCUUAAUGGGGUGACUGCGUACCUUUUGUAUAAUGGGUCAGCGACUUAUAUUCUGUAGCAAGGUUAACCGAAUAGGGGAGCCGAAGGGAAACCGAGUCUUAACUGGGCGUUAAGUUGCAGGGUAUAGACCCGAAACCCGGUGAUCUAGCCAUGGGCAGGUUGAAGGUUGGGUAACACUAACUGGAGGACCGAACCGACUAAUGUUGAAAAAUUAGCGGAUGACUUGUGGCUGGGGGUGAAAGGCCAAUCAAACCGGGAGAUAGCUGGUUCUCCCCGAAAGCUAUUUAGGUAGCGCCUCGUGAAUUCAUCUCCGGGGGUAGAGCACUGUUUCGGCAAGGGGGUCAUCCCGACUUACCAACCCGAUGCAAACUGCGAAUACCGGAGAAUGUUAUCACGGGAGACACACGGCGGGUGCUAACGUCCGUCGUGAAGAGGGAAACAACCCAGACCGCCAGCUAAGGUCCCAAAGUCAUGGUUAAGUGGGAAACGAUGUGGGAAGGCCCAGACAGCCAGGAUGUUGGCUUAGAAGCAGCCAUCAUUUAAAGAAAGCGUAAUAGCUCACUGGUCGAGUCGGCCUGCGCGGAAGAUGUAACGGGGCUAAACCAUGCACCGAAGCUGCGGCAGCGACACUAUGUGUUGUUGGGUAGGGGAGCGUUCUGUAAGCCUGUGAAGGUGGCCUGUGAGGGUUGCUGGAGGUAUCAGAAGUGCGAAUGCUGACAUAAGUAACGAUAAAGCGGGUGAAAAGCCCGCUCGCCGGAAGACCAAGGGUUCCUGUCCAACGUUAAUCGGGGCAGGGUGAGUCGACCCCUAAGGCGAGGCCGAAAGGCGUAGUCGAUGGGAAACAGGUUAAUAUUCCUGUACUUGGUGUUACUGCGAAGGGGGGACGGAGAAGGCUAUGUUGGCCGGGCGACGGUUGUCCCGGUUUAAGCGUGUAGGCUGGUUUUCCAGGCAAAUCCGGAAAACCAAGGCUGAGGCGUGAUGACGAGGCACUACGGUGCUGAAGCGACAAAUGCCCUGCUUCCAGGAAAAGCCUCUAAGCAUCAGGUAACAUCAAAUCGUACCCCAAACCGACACAGGUGGUCAGGUAGAGAAUACCAAGGCGCUUGAGAGAACUCGGGUGAAGGAACUAGGCAAAAUGGUGCCGUAACUUCGGGAGAAGGCACGCUGAUAUGUAGGUGAAGCGACUUGCUCGUGGAGCUGAAAUCAGUCGAAGAUACCAGCUGGCUGCAACUGUUUAUUAAAAACACAGCACUGUGCAAACACGAAAGUGGACGUAUACGGUGUGACGCCUGCCCGGUGCCGGAAGGUUAAUUGAUGGGGUUAGCGGCAACGCGAAGCUCUUGAUCGAAGCCCCGGUAAACGGCGGCCGUAACUAUAACGGUCCUAAGGUAGCGAAAUUCCUUGUCGGGUAAGUUCCGACCUGCACGAAUGGCGUAAUGAUGGCCAGGCUGUCUCCACCCGAGACUCAGUGAAAUUGAACUCGCUGUGAAGAUGCAGUGUACCCGCGGCAAGACGGAAAGACCCCGUGAACCUUUACUAUAGCUUGACACUGAACAUUGAGCCUUGAUGUGUAGGAUAGGUGGGAGGCUUUGAAGUGUGGACGCCAGUCUGCAUGGAGCCGACCUUGAAAUACCACCCUUUAAUGUUUGAUGUUCUAACGUUGGCCCGUAAUCCGGGUUGCGGACAGUGUCUGGUGGGUAGUUUGACUGGGGCGGUCUCCUCCUAAAGAGUAACGGAGGAGCACGAAGGUUGGCUAAUCCUGGUCGGACAUCAGGAGGUUAGUGCAAUGGCAUAAGCCAGCUUGACUGCGAGCGUGACGGCGCGAGCAGGUGCGAAAGCAGGUCAUAGUGAUCCGGUGGUUCUGAAUGGAAGGGCCAUCGCUCAACGGAUAAAAGGUACUCCGGGGAUAACAGGCUGAUACCGCCCAAGAGUUCAUAUCGACGGCGGUGUUUGGCACCUCGAUGUCGGCUCAUCACAUCCUGGGGCUGAAGUAGGUCCCAAGGGUAUGGCUGUUCGCCAUUUAAAGUGGUACGCGAGCUGGGUUUAGAACGUCGUGAGACAGUUCGGUCCCUAUCUGCCGUGGGCGCUGGAGAACUGAGGGGGGCUGCUCCUAGUACGAGAGGACCGGAGUGGACGCAUCACUGGUGUUCGGGUUGUCAUGCCAAUGGCACUGCCCGGUAGCUAAAUGCGGAAGAGAUAAGUGCUGAAAGCAUCUAAGCACGAAACUUGCCCCGAGAUGAGUUCUCCCUGACUCCUUGAGAGUCCUGAAGGAACGUUGAAGACGACGACGUUGAUAGGCCGGGUGUGUAAGCGCAGCGAUGCGUUGAGCUAACCGGUACUAAUGAACCGUGAGGCUUAACCUUACAACGCCGAAG